CAAAAGAGGACGAAAGGAGCAAGGCUGUACUCGCCACCGCGCAGAGGCUGUCUGUGAAAAUCGAAAUUGCCGCGUACAGAACCAUAUCCGCGGAUGCGGCAAACGUCAUAGCGGGCACACCACCAGCUCACCUACUGGUUGCCGAACGGAAAAGAAUCUGGGCCGAGAGAACCAGAAUCAUUAAGAAGGGCAAUUACGACAUGGCCCAGAAAAUCCGCAAGACCAAGAGAACGGAAAGAAAAACCACAAUACGAGAGUGGCAAACGGAAUGGCGGAACACUCGCAAGAGUGAAUGGACCAGGACCCUGAUAAAAAACCUGAGCGAAUGGAUCAAGAACAAAGGGGAAACGUCGUUCCACCUUACUCAAGCCCUGAGCGGACACGGGUGUUUUAACUAAUACCUGAAGAGAUUUCGGAUCAGAAGAAGCGGUAAAUGCUACGAGUGCGAAGAGAACGCAGACACCGCAGAACACGCGAUCUUCGAAUGCCCUGGAGACGCCGACCUGAGAAAGGACCUAACGGACCACCGAGGAGUCGCGCUAAAACCUGCGAACUUGAAGACCGCUAUGACGCGAAGCAAGAGCGAGUGGAAGAGAAUUAAGGAAGCUGUCGCAAAGAUAAUACAACACAGAGAAAGGACACAAAGAAAGGCUCAAGGCCGGAACACCGGUUCAGGAUGAACAGCGGAAAGUCAAGACGAUGACCGCAACCAUACCAAAAGCGCAGCAGAAAGAGCCGGAAAAGACUCACGUCACGAGAAGUAAGGAUACCAAGAGACGAACGAAUGGAAAGGUACGAACAGACAGCAAGAACUCAAGGCAAGCGAGAUGAGCAAGUACGUGAUGUCAACAGACGGCAGUAUUUAGAAAACACCUAACACCUAACGCCCCCCGGAAAGCGGCCAAUCGUGUCCCCCGAGGAAGCCGUCUGACCGGGGGUCGCUGCCAUAGCCGGUCCCAAGUCCGUGUUGAGGAAAGCAGAGAGGCCUAGCCUGCCAAACCUUUUAUCCCCCCCCCCCCUCUCCCUGCAAAGGGCCGUUGACGGAGAAAUGCCGAGAAGGCGAUGCCCGGACGGCCAGCUAGGCGCACUCAAAACCCAGUGGAAGGCGGAGUCAAAAAAAAAAAAAAAGGUUAGUUUAGAUUAGGUUAGGUUAGGUUUUGUUUGGUUUCUAUGUGAAUUGUUGCUAAGCGUUCGCAAAUUGUUAAUGCAAAGUCGUUAUAGCAAGCGUCUUUGUGCGAAACUACACAGCUCUUCCAAAACAAAUGAAGUGCAAGUAAGAAACAGAAGAUAUCAAAUGACGUGUAAACGACCCCAGAGGAAAAGGAGAUGUUUAGUCACUAAGAAAAAAGUUACUGGAAAUCAUCAGAGUUUUUGCUGGGCAUAAACCCUGAUAGAAGAAUUUCGAAGUCUUUGGCCCGUAGCAUUGUCAAACGCAUCAAUACUACGGGAGGCUCAAGCUCCGCAGCCCGACUGCCAGUCGUCCAGCCGUCGAAGGAACUAGACGACGAUGAUAGGCUUGGCAUAUGCCUAGCCUUCGAGGAUGAAAGCCAGCCAGCGUCGAAGGCUGCCAAAAUGUUCGGAGUCGCCAAGUCGUCGGUGCUGAAUGUUUUGCACGGAGCGGGUUACUCAUAUGAGUUUCAACAUCACCAGGAACUUACGUCUCAUAAUGCAGGAAGUUGUAAGGCUUUCUGCGGGCGAAUGAUCGGCCAAUGAGGGACUACUCAGCAGGAUCUGUUUCAUGGACGAGAGUACUGUCGUGUUGCAUGGGAGGCCAAAUCGGCGAAUCGUUCGAGUUUAGUCUCGCAGCAAUCCUUAUUUGGUGGUUUCGACAGCUACACAAUACCCGCAGAAGCCUAAUGUUCUGCUCGGCGUUCUUGGGGACUGUCUCUUCAGUGGAAACCUCAACGGCGAAAGGUACCUUGGUUUACUCGAGAAGAACAUUAUCCCUGCCUCAAGAGCAGUAGAAGUUGAUUUGAUUCCGGCAGGACGGUGCCCCCGCACUAUACGUCUGCCAUCAGAGCCUACUUUAAUAGGCAAUUUCUCGGACGAUGAAUCGGCAGAGGCGGUCCAGUCGCGUGGCCAGCUCGUUCACCGGAAUCUUUCUCUGCUAGAUUAGAGUCUACGGGCACACCACGAAAGAAUGUCUCCAUGCAGGGGGGAGGAGAGUGAUUGUUGCUGAUGCGGAACACGGUAUUUUAAAUUCUGGAGAGCCUCGAUCCACAGCAGAUUUCCGAAACUACCAACGCUCUCUAUGAUCGCUGAGGGUACUGUUCUUCACUAGGAGCACUGCAUCCCGAACACCUUUUUCGAAGUCUCGGGCAUGUUCAGGCUAACCUGCCCUCCCAUUUUUUUGAAGUGAGUUCUCAUUGACAUCGCUCACUUCACAACAUGCCAUAUGGCUUCAAAAAAUGCCUUAUCAACACUUUUUUGUCUUUCCACGUUUCUUCAUGCAUCACCGUUGGAGAUGAUAUAGCCACUCUGAGGUGUAUUUUGGAUACAUUUCACUUAUGGUCGGUAUGGUUCAUUUGAAUUGUUCACUUCCACGAAAUAUCACAACACGAUGCAUAGCACGUUUCAUCAACAUCAUUCAUGUUCCAACACCUCAACAAUAGUCGCUUUUUGGAAGAGCCAACAUUACAACAUAGGUACGGGGAUCCCAAGUAAGUAGUGCCAUGCGGAAAACGUGACUGAAGUCAUAAUUGGAAUACAAUGUACGUAGCAUAGUCCCGAUUACGGUAUGUCCCACCCUCCUUUAUAAAUCUAAUUCGGCAGUCAUCUUGAUCAUUCCCUUUUCGGUUUGUGAUGAAGUCUACCCAUGCUUUGGUAACAAAGGAUGUGCAGAGAUGACAUCUUUUUAUAUCUGAAUCGCAUAUAGCGAUGGAUGAACAUGACAUGCGGAAAAAAUGACUAACUAUCUUUCAUGUCACAGGACUUCCGGUGUACACGUAUUGAAAGACUACUGAUAUUACUGUUCUUUUUGACCAAUUGAACAAAUAUGGUUUCCUGUGAUUCUCAAAGGACUUGAUGUUUGUUGAAUUCUACGAUGUAUUUCAGUCCAUUAUUCGUUCAAGAAUUGAUUUCGUAAUUCAAAUGAUUGGUGAAAAUAUUGAAUUUUGAACUGGAAAAAUCUGUGUUCUCCAAUCAUUAUGGGAUGUAAUGUUUCAUAAAUCAACCGAUGACGAUUCUGAUUUUUUUCCGGGUGAAAUUCUAACGUUUAUGCAUUUCGAUUUAAGAGCAUUAUGGCCCAUGCUAACUCGACUAUCAACUUUAAAUGACUAGCUGACCCCCCACUUCACGUUCGGUCGUCCAUUGAUUUGUCAGCUCAAACUAAAAUCGAAGUGUUUGGCUAUUCUGCGGAACAAAUGACGAAUAUUGCGCGAUCGCAGAUCGAGUGCGCAAUUUCACGUUGUCCCUUCUGCAUACAUGAUCAAGAGUAGUAAGGAAUUCAAGGUAGUACGAAGAGUGCUCAUCCAUAUUUCACAUAUUUCAUAUACAAUAGCGAGCACUUCAUCAGAUUAACUAAUCCAAGUCAAUGGAACUUUCGGAAUUAGAAAGAUAUAGUACGAAGGAAAGUUCCAGAUUUCAGUGUCGACUCCACAUCAAAUUCGAGCUUAUGAUCCUAUCAUUGAAAGAUCAUUCUGGUUGACAUAAUGGCCGAGUUGGGGGCGCGAAAAGCUGCACAGCACCGCAGAAGCCACCACAGCCCGCUCCUGCUGCAGCUCUGCCAUAGCAGCCCGAGGCGCAGACUGGACCGGCACGGGCGGCAGCAAAGAGAGCGGCAGAAGAGGAAAAAAAAAAGGAAAAUAAGUAGGAAAAGUGUUGGCUUCACAUCAAAUUGAAGCCCAUGAUCCUGAUCAUCGAAGGAUCAUUUCGGUAGACAUAAUAGCCGAAUUGAGGGCGCGGAAAGCUGCACAGCACCGCAGAAGCCACCACAGCCCGCUCCUGCUGCAGCUCUACCAUCGCAGCCCGAGGCGCAGACUGGACCGGCACGGGCGGCAGCGAAGAGAGCGGGA